rnacentral:rRNA from 1 species
GACGAACGCUGGCGGCGUGCUUAACACAUGCAAGUCGAACGGAAAGGCCCUGCUUUUGUGGGGUGCUCGGGUGGCGAACGGGUGAGUAACACGUGAGUAACCUGCCCUUGACUUUGGGAUAACUUCAGGAAACUGGGGCUAAUACCGGAUAGGAGCUCCUGCUGCAUUGUGGGGGUUGGAAAGUUUCGGCGGUUGGGGAUGGACGUGCGGCUUAUCAGCUUGUUGGUGGGGUAGUGGCUUACCAAGGCUUUGACGGGUAGCCGGCCUGAGAGGGUGACCGGCCACAUUGGGACUGAGAUACGGCCCAGACUCCUACGGGAGGCAGCAGUGGGGAAUAUUGCACAAUGGGCGGAAGCCUGAUGCAGCAACGCCGCGUGCGGGAUGACGGCCUUCGGGUUGUAAACCGCGUUCGCCUGUGACGAAGCGGGAGUGACGGUAAUGGGUAAAGAAGCACCGGCUAACUACGUG